CUUCUUGCCAGAUGUAGGGGUGAUGGGAGCUCAGUCCAUGGAGAAUGCAGGAUGAGGGUGUGGCCCAGUUUGGAGUUCAGGAAGAAGGGGCAGAUGUCAAACCUUUGAAGCAGAGCUGCUCAUCCACGUGAAGGUCUUGGGAUGAUGUCAGAAGAGAAGCUUCGCUGUCAGGGUGCUGGGACCGGGGAGCCUCUCUCACUCCCAGGUUCCACAGAAGGGAGCUGAUGUCCCUCAGAGGAAGAGGUGCCCCAGACCUCAUCGUUCUGAGAUCAUUAUUGAAAAGAAGUCAGGCAAGCAGCACCAUCGUAUAUCUGAAGACAGCAUCCACGGUCUCUUCAGUAUGUGGGGUCCCUGACCUAGAGGGCCACCUUGAGAAGAGUGAGA